UCACUUUAGACAACCAGUUACCACAAGCUACCUGGGACUAAAAGAGCCAAGUAGGAGAGAUCUGGGAGCUUCGGCUGCCUCGUGUGUGUGGCUGUGUCCUCGCUUGAAGGUUCCCAGUAUGAAACUCAAGUUGCCAAAUUGGCCUAAGCUUGAUUUCCAGCAGACAGUGACCUUCAACUGCAGGUCUUCCUGCCUCUUCCUCCUAGUGCUGGGAUUGCAGCCAGAGAGAAGUUUCUGGAACUCAGCUCUGGUAAAGUCACGCUUCUGGUCACGAGCUCUCUGUGGCUCCCAGCAACAACCUACACAAGGCCUGGCACUAGCAGGCAGAUGAAGUUGGCCUCCGCUGAGAGUCUCUGGCUCUCCUACGCCCCAGGGCUUCUCCUGGGCCCAGCAUCCCUGUCUUUCUAUGCCAGUUGAGGUUUGCUCUGGGCAUUUCUUCUAUGGGAAUGUCCUUCCAGAGCAUGAGACCUGCCUGUCUUCCCUCCCGAGUUAAGCUCAGGGCUCCCCGGCAGACUUGGGAAGAGUGUUGCGUUGGUUUGACCUGGUUUGAGCAUCAGCACUGGGGUGGGACAUUUACUGAUGCAUGAUACACAGACUUCUGAUGGCCGCUUUGUGCUUUAUGAGGACAGGUAUACAGGUGUACUGAAGCUCAGCUAAGAGUUGCUUUCAACGGCAGCAGUCAGUACAUAGAAGAGUUUGGAAACCAUGUAUAUUGUCAGGGUUGGCCCUUUUGAGGCUGUGUGAUAGGGGGCAAGUUGCUUGACCUCUCUGAGCCCAGCCUUUCCUGUCUGUGAAAUGGGCAUCAUGUUUAUGCCUACUGCACAGGUCAACAAGGACUCAAUGAGACACACCAUGCAAAGGAAAACACAUGUCCCAGCUCUGCCUAAGCUCCAAGGUGGGCAGGGCCCUGCCAGGUGUGUCUGAACUUCUGUAGGGUCCCUUUGGAAGAGGCAGAUGGUGAAGGGCAGGUGUACAUAGGCCGUGUAGCUCAGUGGGCUAUGCUGAGACAAUCCCAGUGUUAGAUAAAAGACAUGGAUCUCCUCUUUGGUCAAGUAAACAUUAUAAGAAAGGGUUGUCUCAAAGGAACCACUCCUUCCUCGAGGGCCAAAGUCCUCAGGGAACAGUCUGGAGGCUCCUUUUAUGUGACUGUAAAGUAAUCUGGGGCCUGGUAGGGUUGAGGUUGGAUGGCUCUGACGCGCAGGGUGGCCUCCGAGUGGCCAAUGAUUACCUUUUAUACUUGGCCAUAAAGGCCACCGCCUGGUGUAUGGACAGUGUCACUUCAUACAGUGAAAGUCGCAGGAGAGUGUUGUAGGCAUGGCACACAUACCUGUGCACACACCCCCCUCACACACACACACCUAUCAAAGAAGAGCAAGCUGCCUCUGCUGAGGUCUCUAGGUCAUCCCUGCAAGGCACCCCUGCUUUCUCCAAGUGAUCUCUGGACCAGAAGCCAAGGGCUACGGGUGGGGCUCAGUGGGUGCAAACACAAAUGAGUUCUGCCCAGGGUCUGGAUCUAUGUGGAAGGAGAGGAGGGAUCACUUGGCUCGGGGGCCAAGUCUCAGAGGAACAAGGAUCUGGCCACAGUUCAAAGUCCACAUAGCCUGUGGUGGUGCAGCUGAGAUCUGGGGUGUGGGGAAUUGCCAUAGGACUGAGACUGGAGAGCCUGGCUGAGCAAGGAAGAGGACCCAGGUAUUCCCUCUGCUAACAGAUUCUGGGCUACUCUCCCCAAGGGACCAAACAGGAACCCUAGGGGACAGGAAAGGUCUGAUUCAGGUCAUAUACCUACCUCACCCAUUCUGCGGCACUAACACCUAACCUCUGCAGAAUAGUGGCCAUCAGGGGUCAGGGCUGGGGCAGACACGGCCAGAUUAAUAUUCUACCUCUCUGUUGAUAAAACCAGGAACCUUUGUCCCAGUGAGAGAGGCUGAGGAGUACAUACCAAGGGACAGUUUGUGAGACUCUGCCCCUCCCUCCCCACUGCUGACAUAACAGCAUGAAAUUAAACCUAUUCCAGUCUGUGACAUCUGAUCCCUUUGACAUGACAUAGUACAACCUGUAGAGCCAGAGGUGGGGGCCAGGAGGCCCUGUUCUCAUCUCUCUCUGCACAACCUUGAGCCAGUCACAGCUGCCUGAACCUCAGUCUCCCACUCUGGACGUUGUCAGGGUGAUGGAGCAAGCAUUCAGUUAUUUUCUGCUGGAUUCUGAUGUGGUCUAAAGUCCACACUUUGUUGUGAAACACCGCAAUCUGUGAUGUACAGAACCUAUUACUGUGGCCACCCAGGAAUGCAGGGAGCAGGCCUUUUGAGAAGAUGAAUCAGCGUGUGUUAGCUCAGGGCAGAGGGCCUGGCGGUGAGACGUGAGAACAGCCAAUGUCAUGGUGGUGGGGGAGUGGACGUGGGGUCCAGCAAACUGCAUGUUGAAAAAACGAGGAACUCAAAGGCAGAUGAGCCUACCACGCUGGGAACAGUUGGGAGUACAUUGCUCAAGGUGUGUGGUGUGCAUGGAACAUGUCUGUGUGUUAGAUGGGUAUAUG